rnacentral:lncRNA from 1 species
GCGCGGGGCGCACGGCUCCAUGGCGGGCAGCAGGUGCGCGCGACCGUGAGUUCGAGUAUUUUAGCCUGCGAUGGCAAGCUUGCGGGGCUUGCAACGUAUACGUGCAGAAUUUGGUAUUGGCUUCAGGCCUUCAGCGAUUUUCGAUUUUUUUUUGGAUUUCCUGAUUCAGGUCUCAUGAUUUCUUGAGUUCCCGUAUGUAUCGAUCAUGCGGUUCUUUUCCUAAAGCUCUGGAGAUUUGUUAUGGAGAAACAAACGAUUCCUU